AAAAACAUGGCUCUUUGAUAACUACUUAUAAAGAGUCUGACCUGCCCAGUGAUACAAACGUAUUCAACGGCCGCGGUACUCUGACCGUGCAAAGGUAGCAUAAUCAUUUGCCCUAUAAUUGAGGGCUAGUAUGAAAGGUUUGACAAGGGCAACCCUGUCUCUGCAAGAAUCCCUGGAACUUAUUUUUUAGAUGAAGAAAUCUAAAUAAAAUUAAUAGACAAGAAGACCCUAUCGAGCUUUAAAGUCAUUUAUGCUCUCAAGAGGCUGUCAACAGACUUCUUUUCAUAAAAAACUUUUGGUUGGGGCGACUGAGGAACAACUAAAGCUUCUUUUAACUCUAAUUUCCUGAAUAAAGACCCACAAACUUUAUUGUGAUUAAAAGAAAUAGUUACCGUAGGGAUAACAGCAUAAUCUCUUUUGAGAGCUCUCAUCGAAAAAGAGGUUUGUGACCUCGAUGUUGGACUAGAAUAUCCUGAAAGGUGCAGCCGCCUCAAGGGU
rnacentral:rRNA from 1 species